UGUCACACCUCUCUGAGGAAGUGACUAACACCAAACCACCUUUAUAACUGACAAAACUUCUCCUGGGCAGAGAGCCGCUGAUCUGGGUAGGGGCAGCCAGGAGAGCACCAGCCUACUGCAGGGUCACCCCUCACCCCAUGGAGCCAUGCCGAGGACCUGUCCCCUCUUCUUCCUCGCCGUCUUCUGUGCAGAGGUCUCAUUGGAUAUAAUUUUGGAAUCAGACACCAAGGCACUGACUGUUCUCGCUGGGGAGGCUGCCAGCUUCCGUUGCAGUGUAACAGGAGGGGACCUGAAGAACUAUCAAGUGAGCUGGUAUAAGAAGAGUGAAGAUAAGGCUCUGAUUUUGGUCUUCAAACUAAGCAACAGUUCUAAGUACAAUUUAGGGAAUAAUUUCAUGGGGAGAAUUGAUGCUUUAAAAAACCUAUUUAUGCUCGACAUUCAGAAAGCAACAACAAAAGAUGUUGGGACUUACUACUGUGCGUCUGACAUCCACAGUGCUGCGGCUCCAUCUCUGACUGCUUCAGAAACCCUAGGGCCAAACUGAGUUGGCAGAUCCAAUUCAAGAGCACCCUGGGCUAAAAUGCGCCACACCUGAGAUGAGGCUGCCUGAUCACUUCACCAGUAACAUCUGAUAAAAGAGGCCAGCAGCUGAAGUGGGGGCAAGGACCUUAUCUUUGCAGUUAGCUUCAAGGGGCCUUCUUUAUCAGUUGAAGAGGGCAGAAGAGACUGUUAGGAUUUACGUGGAGAGAUGUGGCAGUGGGUGGGCGGGGGGAGGGGGGUCCUGCACCUGUCUCUCAUAGGCUCCUGAGGAAAGGUUGAAAAUAACAGCUUUUAAUACUGAAUAGGCCUUCUCAUUGUGGAGGCAGGCUGAGAUAAACAGAACUUUAACUAUCAAGAGUGCUGUAGCUCAUUGCAGUCUUUAUUGUUAAAGCGUUCGUGUGCAUAAGCCAGAUAAAGCAAGGAUGGUUUUCCAUUACCGUGCUAAUCAAAAUUUCCAAAGCUAUUAGAGAUAGCUUUAAUUCUUACUCUGUGAAGAAGGGUGAAUAGAGUCAUUUUCUGAAAUGUUUCCACAACUAUUUCAGGUAUUGAGUGUUUUAUAUCUUCCCUUAGCUGCCAAGGAGUCCUGGGGACCUGUGGGGAUAAGCAGAAAGAGGCAAUGCACAGGCUCCCUUCACGCUGGUUGCUGAGGGAGAUCUUAGAGACAAAUACUUGUGGCAAUGUGGAAUUUCUGAAUUGGGUAUGAGUCAGCUAAAUUGAAAAUAAUUAUUUGAUUUCUGAGUCCCACGUUGAAAUGGGUAAGCCAAGAAGGUCUGAGACUGCAGGGAGCAAAGACCUGGAGGAACCCACUGAGCAGACAAGUAGGCAGAGGGGCUUAAAGAUAUAAACAUUAAACACUAAUCUAGGGAGUGCCUUCAUCCUGUUGACGCUCUUUGUUCUGCUCAAAUAUCUGUCUGGAAUCCUCUCCCCACCUAAGGUUAAAAUUCAGGCAUUAGGACACAGAGUAGACAUAAAUGUGAAAAUUACAACUGAAAGUCGGCCCUCCUGACACCUUCUAUACAACAUUUCUUCCAAGGCACUAUCAUCCUCAUCACAUAUUUUUUGUAGGGUACUUAUUGUUCAUGGUAUUGGGAUUGGUCGUGGGAAUCGCAAAGUUCUAAGGCAGCUUCUAGUCAAAGUUCUAUUGUCAUCAAUGUGUUUCCAAUUUAUUUUUAAAAGACAGGGCAUUGGACAGUACAAAGAUACAAAGAAUACAAAAAUGUAAGACAGCACGUAUGAUAAUGAGGGUUAGUGAUUUUGUGUGCGGUGCUCUAGGAGUUUA